rnacentral:misc_RNA from 1 species
UAUGAGCAAUUGCUUCAUAGUUUUGAGGAGCAUUUAAAGGAGAAAAGGAUUGUGCCCAAAUUGACGAAAGCAGAAGGGUAAUCUGGCGACUGCUCAACCUAAGGGACAUUAUCUGUUCUUUGCUCGAGGUGCUGGUUUCUGUGGUCAUCUCAUCUGCUGUUAUUGGUGGUGGGUUCCUUUUCACACUAUAAGCUCGGCUGUAACUUGACUUCAAUCUACUUAGCAUGGAAGGAUUAUUUAAUGUUGAACCCUCAUUGGCUACAAUUUUGUUCUUUGUGUCUUCAGAAAUAUUUUCUUGUGAAGAAUGCUCUUCCUUUUUCAGUUUCUCAAAGAGAGCAGCUGAAGAAGAAAACACAGAUACAUUCCUUGAGAGCAUCCUUUGCAUAUUGGUUGCCUUAUUGGGGAUGGAAGUGGCAGUAGGACGGGGGCAAAAAGAAGAUGGGACAAGAACAACAGAAAAUAUGCGGUGUGCCCCCGCCCUCGUUUCAUGGUCUUCACAGACCAUAGCCAGAAGUAACUGAUGAAAUAGUGCCUCAGGAAAACCCUUGUUCUGAUAGGACAAAUUUGGCAGGGAUGCCACUAUCUGAGCAGUACGAUAAACAGUAUUAAUUAGGGUUCUGGCCAUAACAGUAAUACUUGGCAUGUUCUCCAACAUUACAGCCAUCACAUCAAGGAUAGGAUCAGCAUCUCCAACCUUGUACGCUAUCUGCACAAGGCACUCAUCCACUGCUGCUCGAAAUCUACGGUUCCAUUCAAUUACUUCAGUCCCUAGAUCUGCAUCAUCUAGUGAGCAGUGUAUGCUUUUCCGCAGGUGUCUCAUCAUAUCACUUAGUGCACCUAUUAUAGCAACAGAUGGCUGAACCUUUGUUUGUCGGACAAGGCAGGUGGCAACAUUAACAAUGUCUAGUUGCAUAUUGGGCUUUUUAAGAACAUUCUUGUGAUCAAGGUGCUUUAUUAAGAUGGACAACACGAAGUGCGUCUUUUGUCCAGAUUUCUCUAUUAUUAGCUGCAUAUCCAGCAAGACAGAAAGAGCAAGACCAUAUUGUGGAGACCAGAGGUCACCAUCAUCAAAAUAGCGGAACAAUGAUUCAAGGACACGUCGCACAGUUGUAGCUUCCUUGGCCAACUGUGCCAUGUUAAGCAGGCAAACCCUUGACCAAAAUGUAGGGUUCUUGGAAUCCUCCCUUCAUAAAGAAAAAGAAAGAAAAGCAAAUUAGAGAGAGUUAUAAAAGAGGAAGUAGCUGUCAGUAACAAUAUCAUUUCCUCAAGUGAGGCUAAAUAACAGCAAGACUUCAAUAUUGAAAAAAACAAAUUACAGAGAUAUGUUAACUUCGCCUUGCUCACUAACAAUCCUCCUCCAAGAAGGAAUCCUUGUCAGGGCAUCUGGUGAAGGAGAAUCUUCUUCAACACAUUCACUCUGGAAACCAUCUGCCUCUGAAUUACUCUUCUGACAUUCAUAAUUGUCCAAGACAACCGAAACCACAGUAUCAAAAUCUGCUGAAAUAUGAGAGAAUUCACCCAUGAACCAAACCAUUGAUGAAAGGGCCUGAAGCCCAGCAGUGCGAAUAUGUUCUAUCUUUUCCUCCUCUCCUAUUUCCUGAACUAAAUGACAAAGUUUUGGAAUCAAGCCGUCUAAAUUGAAUACAUAAGUACCAUCUCUCUGAUUAUUCACAAAAUCAAAAAGAGCUUGGCAUCCUAAUAUGCGUACAUCAUCAUGUCGUGUUUGAUCUAGUAGAAUGUGUAUGAUGCUAAGCAAGCUACUCGCAAACAAUGGCAUUUGCUCCUUACAAGAAAUCAACAACUUCCUGUAGAUGCUCAUAACAACUUUUACAGAUUGAAACUGCUCGCUCCUCAAAUCCUUGUAACACCUUUGCUCAAGAGAACUUGUGAUCUUUGGAAUACGGAGAGGGUUUUUAGAAGCAUAUUCACAGAGUUUACCAAUCUUUCGAUCAUUUGGUUGUUCAUCCGGAGCUCGAGGGUAUAUAUCGGCCAGCAAUUUCUUGUAGCGCUUGAUGGGCUGCCUCGAUCUCGUACGCAAUGCAGGACAAAAGAAACAUAACGUAUCACAAGCAGGCAUCACUUGCCUUGAAACCAUCUCAUCUAUUGUAACCCCUCAAAAUUUCCCUUCAAAUAUAAGAAUACCCACAUAAAAAUUUGUCUCUAUAACCUCAAAAUCGAUUCUUUAACUCGCAUUUCCUCAAAAUCGAUUCUUUAACUCGCAUUUCCUUCAACAAAAUCGAUUUAUCUCCCUUCAAAACUAAUACGUAUAUACUCGGAAUUUGUCACUUAAAAAUUUAUGCACUUCCCCAGAAAAUCAACGGGAAAAAAACCCAAAAUCUCCCUUGAAAACCUGUAUAGAUGAAUGGGUGUAUUCAGAUAUCCAAAAUAAGAUAAACAAAACUCAAAUGGAAGGUUGAAAAGAACAGGAAAAAAAAACGUGGGUUGUGGAUUGCCUCGGGAAAAUGGCGAAGAAUUGAUCACCGAGGUUUCUCCACAAGGGAAAAGGGAGAGGAAAAAAAAUCCAAAUGACAAUUGACAAUAACUGAAUUGAAUUGAAAAAUGGCAAUUAUAGCUUCUCUCUCACUGAAUUUUUG